AACGUAGGAGACAAACGUUAUCCGGAGUUACUGGGCGUAAAGGGCGUGCAGGUGAUCUGUUAAGUCUGGCGUGAAAGCUCCUGGCUAAACCGGGAGAGGUCGUUGGAUACUGGCGGACUAGAGGACGGUAGAGGCGUGUGGAAUUCCGGGUGUAGUGGUGAAAUGCGUAGAGAUCCGGAGGAACACCAGUGGCGAAGGCGACACGCUGGGCCGUACCUGACACUGAUACGCGGCAGCAUGGGGAGCGAACGGG
rnacentral:rRNA from 1 species